UGAUCAGCUGCCCUCCUCUAUUACCUCAUCCCAAAGCCUUGUGUUGGCAUUUGGCAAUUAAGAUAGAGCACAUUCACUUUGCAUGUUCCCUUGUAUAUACAAUCUUAGAUUUUCUUUUUGAUUUUUCUUCUUAUUGAAUCUCAGUUCCAUGUUUGAACUAGAUGAGUUACCAUUGAUACUAUGAGAAUGCUAUAAAUCUAAUUUGGCAGUUCUUGUGAGUACAGUGAACGUCGAUUGAGCUUGCUGGUGAAAAGAUGACGUACUUUGCAGGCUGGCAUACAUGCUUAAUCUCUUAUUAACAGAGACAAGUGCUUAAAAUAUUCCUUUGACCCCCAUAAGAGUUAUCAAACAAAAUCUAUGUUUUGAUUUUGUUUGGAGGAUGAAAAUUUUUAGCAGACUGCUAGCAAAAAAUUUAUGAUGUAAAGGUUGGCAGGCAUCCGUUAUCCUUUCUUUCAAUGCACGAAAGACAUAUAGUUCUAGGUAUUCUAUCACUGCACGAAAGAUAUAUAGUUUUAAGUAGCAAGGAUUGCUAUGAAAAAGGGAAAAGAUUCGCAGGAGAAAAAGGGAGUAACAAGAUUGGAAGGGCUUGUAGGUCUUGAGAGAGUUCAUCAGACCUUCAACUGAUCCAGCUGCAGCAACAAGUGAUACCACCAAGCAGGCGAGACUCAAUAUUUUCAGCCAUGUCCAUGUGAAAGAGAACUUUGGCAUUUUUGUGCGUGCUAUGUACAUCUCUAUCGGAAAGUACACUGUCAAUGGCCAGAAUGCAGCUGCUCCGAUGAGACCCAAGAAGUCAUUGAAGAAUGGGAAGAUCAUGGCUACCACAGCAGUCACUAUAACGUACAGUGUCCUCCACACUAAUCUGAAUGAGUUGAGCUCCUCUCCACAAAACUGAAGAUUGGCUGGCAGAAAACCUGGAAGGCAUUUGAAUCACUUUAGAAUGACAAUCAAAGCAGUGCGUAGUGACUAGAACGCGUCGUCUUAUUCACCUGGUAGGCACCAAUGAGGUGAACAGCAAUGCAAACAUUGGCAAAAUCGAUCAGCCAAAAAGGUUCAUAAAAUCCAAAACCUGUGAGGAAAUUGCCAGGAGCAUCAUUUCCAAAUGCUGCAUAACCAACACAACCACAUAGGACGUAGAACAGGGUGGUUGUCAGGAUGCCGACAAAGGAUGCUUUCUUCAUAGCUUUGUUCUCAGGAGGACUUGAUUUGACUGUAUCCUGUAAUUCAUGUCUUUAUCAGCUUAGUAGAUUCUUGUGAGAGUAGACCUAACAAGAAAUGCUACAUGUUAAUGUAAGGUAAAUCCACCAUUCCAAGUCCUUUCGGAUUACGUUAUGCAUCCAAAAUGUUCACAAAGGAGAAAAAGAAAUGGGCAUAUAUGAGGGUGUCUAGUGAAAAAUAAAACCAGCCUGUAGAUGAGACAAACUUUAGCAGCGAAUACCAUGAUUAGUUGCUCAGGAGAUGAUGCAAGAAAGGGACAGGUAGAAAGGCUACAAGGUGGGCUUUCACUUCUUUCCAAAAAGGCAAAUGCGUUCAUUUAGCCCAAAAUUUUGAUUGUGGUCCUCCAUAUUUUGAUAUGGUCCACGAAGAAUCUCUAGAAGGCUAUAACCGUAGACUCCACUUCCAGGAAAGAGUCACCCUCAGUUCAUUCGUCCCAAGCUUUCCUUUUAUUUGAAAAUUUUGGAGUCUACGUACGGCUGCAUUGGUCCUUAUCAGAACAGUGCAGCCACUCGAUUAACAAGAAAUGCCACAUACAUUGUUCUGGAAAUGCAGAGGACAGAAGAUCAAUGAUCAGAUAUGCAACUUGCCAAUUUUAUCACUAGCCUGCUAGUACUGGUAGGCGUAGGACCCCUCAGAGAAGGCCGUAGAGUCUGACUGGAAUGGAAUGGCUAGUGGCCAAUUCACUCGAAAACUGCCAGUAUCUGUGACUGACUGUAAUAUCUAUAGUUGUGGGGUCCAUGAUGUAAUAAAUAUGAUUUGUCAACCUCACUAAGUGUGUGUUUGCCAUUUAAUUUGAGGGCUCAAAUUGUGUGUUUUCUUUUUAUUAGAAAAAGCAUCAUUUUAGAAGCUGUUCAGAAAAGCAGUUUAAGAAAACCUGAUUUGUUAUUUCUAAAUUAUAUUAAAAAUAAUUUUAAAUUAUUAUUUAAUAUUUUAUAAGCAAUAUUUU